GACCUUUAAGUCUCAGAGAACAAUUGGUGCUGUGAGCAGGAUGGCGUGGCCGUGACCGCUGGCCCUUGGACAGCUCUGUAGGGAGACCACUCUCGAUUUAUUUGUUGGUUCUAGUCCACGGUGAGAGGAGAGGGCUUGAGACAGAGCUGGGGCUCCUGGGUCGGGCUUGCUGCUGCUCCGUGACUGCGACUCUCCCCUCGCCUGAGCAUCCUCAGCGCGAGAAUGUCCACGUGAAGGGUGCUCGCUGGCCGAGCACCAGGACCGCACGUGCCUUCAGGCGGCCCUCUCUAGAGCCACAGGGGAGAUGUGGCUGAUCGAGCAGCACUCUCUGUGUUGGUCGUUCCUCUGUCUCCAGAAGAACCUGCAUUUAUCCAGAACCUCAUCCUAUCUCCAGAGUCAUUUGUUUUAAGUAGUCCUUUGGGGCAGGACCCUGAUUUCUCUGUUUCGGGCGAUUCCCGAGGAAGGAGGUGUUGGUUGGACACCGCCCCCCCAAGGUAGAGAAACGAUCCUCGUCUCACUGUGCAUGCUGCUCGGGUGCUUUAUGGCUGCGUAACUCACCGUGGGAUUCACAUUAAAGGGCUCAGUUGCAAUAGAGCUUUGUUUUGAACACUCUCUUGACCCACUUUUGAGGCUGCGGUUGGAGGCUUGUCAUUUCCCUUUCUUGAGCAGCUGAUCAAGUCCACACUCCAGCCACUUCCCUUAUCAGGCUCUGCUUCAUGGCCGUGACCAGGUGCCACUCGUACGGGACAACCAGGGGUAGGCCCUAGGCCCUGGGGUUUAUAAUGCCAAGUCAUUCAGAUUAGCCAGUCCAUGGGGAGCCUGUGAAAUCUAGUUAGCCCCACCCCACUUGCCACACCCAGGCUGCUCCCCACAGCUCCAGCUGCCUGUUUUUCUACCCCUAGGUGCUGGGUCCCCCAGACUGGCCCUGCCUGGAGGCCUUCUCCCACCUGGAGCUGAAUUCACGGCUGGCGUUUCCCAAGUGACGAGUACAGAAACCCCCGCUUGCAGAAAGAGGAAGGGACAAAAACAGCCUCAGGCACCGGAGGUGACUGCCAGGAACAGAGGUGGGGCUGCAGAUCUCCAGGGUCCCUACGCCAAUGCAUAGAACUACGGGCUGGUCCCUGGACCCCUGUUUUUGUCCCAAGCGCUUGGCACUGACCACGCCUUCCAAGGACUAAAGAGACAUGGGCACCUGCUGGACUCCCCUCUCUUCGCUGGAGAACUCUCACUGGCCUUGGCAAAGGCCCUGAUGGCUGCCUCACAGGAUGCUCCCAGGGACAGCGUGCCCCCCUCCACCUCUCAGGCUCUCGCAUCCCUCCCUCCUCAGCCUGGUCACCUGUGCUCAGGCAUCGUGGGCAUGGUGCUUGGAAGGUGUGUUUGAGACUGACUGAAUGAACAGGUCACCAGGUGGAAACUGAAGCUCAGCGAGUUUCUGCCUCUGAGUUUCAGGUCUGCCUCUUCAUGAGUCCUAAAAGGUGAUGUGCGGGACUUCGCUGGUGGUCCAGUGGCCAAGACUCCGCCUCCCAAAUCAGCGGGCCAGGGUUCAACCUCUGGCCAGGAAACUAGAUCCCACAUGCCACAACUGAAAGAAUCCGCACGCCAAAAUGAAGACUAAAGAUCCUGUGUGCCGUAACUAAGACCUGGACAGCUAAAUCAAUCAAUCAGUAUCUUACAAAAUAAAACUAAAAAUAAUGUACAGAGUGAAAA